rnacentral:sRNA from 1 species
GUUUAGCCCUGAUUGAAACAAUUGUCUGAGCUCUUUUUUAUCCUUUUUCAGGAUAAAAAAAGCGAGUGUGUAAAGCAGGAAAUAGC